rnacentral:rRNA from 1 species
UACGGGGGGGGCAAGCGUUGUUCGGAAUUACUGGGCGUAAAGGGCUCGUAGGCGGCCAACUAAGUCAGACGUGAAAUCCCCAGGCUUAACCUGGGAACUGCGUCUGAUACUGGAUGGCUUGAGAUUGGGAGAGGGAUGCGGAAUUCCAGGUGUAGCGGUGAAAUGCGUAGAUAUCUGGAGGAACACCGGUGGCGAAGGCGGGUCUCUGGGCCGAUACUGACGCUGAGGAGCGAAAGCGUGGGGAGCGAACAGG